UCCUGGUUUGAGCAGAGACUCUGAAUUCCCAGUAUAAUCAAGUCAGGGGUUUAAUGAAUGAAGAAUGGACCAUUAUAAAUUAUCUUUGAAAUUGGCCUUCUAAAAUAAACUACUGAAUAUUAUUGAAAUUAACAGUUCUACUCAGGACUAAAAUUUACCAGGACACUUUCAGCUCAGCCAACUACAUCCAGUAUGUCCUGUGGCCAGGAAGAAAAGGAAAUUUCUUAAACUAUAUGAAGAAGUACCAUCUCUAAAGAAGU
rnacentral:lncRNA from 1 species